GGAUUGCCANUGGGCGGAAGCCUGAUGCAGCGACGCCGCGUGAGGGAUGACGGCCUUCGGGUUGUAAACCUCUUUCAGCAGGGACGAAGCGCAAGUGACGGUACCUGCAGAAGAAGCGCCGGCCAACUACGUGCCAGCAGCCGCGGUAAGACGUAGGGCGCGAGCGUUGUCCGGAUUUAUUGGGCGUAAAGAGCUCGUAGGCGGCUUGUCGCGUCGACUGUGAAAACCCGCGGCUCAACUGCGGGCCUGCAGUCGAUACGGGCAGGCUAGAGUUCGGUAGGGGAGACUGGAAUUCCUGGUGUAGCGGUGAAAUGCGCAGAUAUCAGGAGGAACACCGGUGGCGAAGGCGGGUCUCUGGGCCGAUACUGACGCUGAGGAGCGAAAGUGUGGGGAGCGAACAGGAUUAGAUACCCUGGUAGUCCACGCUGUAAACGUUGGGCGCUAGGUGUGGGGGGCCUCUCCGGUUCUCUGUGCCGCAGCUAACGCAUUAAGCGCCCCGCCUGGGGAGUACGGCCGCAAGGCUAAAACUCAAAAAAAUUGACGGA
rnacentral:rRNA from 1 species